GUCCAUGCCGUAACGAUGUCUACUAGCCGUUGGGCCUUUGAGGCUUUAGUGGCGCAGCUAACGCACUAAGUAGACCGCCUGGGAGUACGGUCGCAAGAUUAAACUCAAAUGAAUUGACGGGCCCGCACAAGCGGUGGAGCAUGUGGUUUAAUUCGACGCAACGCGAAGAACCUUACCAGGUCUUGACAUCUAGAGAAUUUGCCAGAGAUGGCUUAGUGCCUUCGGGAACUCUAAGACAGGUGCUGCAUGGCUGUCGU
rnacentral:rRNA from 1 species